rnacentral:rRNA from 1 species
CCUACGGGAGGCAGCAGUGGGGAAUAUUGGACAAUGGGCGCAAGCCUGAUCCAGCCAUGCCGCGUGUGUGAAGAAGGCCUUCGGGUUGUAAAGCACUUUUGUGGAAAGUCCGGUACCGAAAGAAUAAGCACCGGCUAACUUCGUGCCAGCAGCCGCGGUAAUACGAAGGGUGCAAGCGUUACUCGGAAUUACUGGGCGUAAAGCGUGCGUAGGUGGUGCGUUAAGUCUGUCGUGAAAGCCCCGGGCUCAACCUGGGAAUGGCGAUGGAUACUGGCGCGCUAGAGUGCGGUAGAGGAGAGUGGAAUUCCCGGUGUAGCAGUGAAAUGCGUAGAGAUCGGGAGGAACAUCAGUUGCGAAGGCGGCUCUCUGGACCAAAUGACACUGAGGCACGAAAGCGUGGGGAGCAAACAGGAUUAGAUACCCUUGUAGUC